rnacentral:rRNA from 1 species
GACGAACCGUCCUAACGUUGUUCGGAUUCACUGGGCUUAAAGGGCGCGUAGGCGGGUGAGCAAGUCCGGGGUGAAAUCUUUCGGCUUAACCGGAAAACUGCCUUGGAUACUGCUCGUCUAGAGGGAGGUAGGGGUCUGUGGAACUUCCGGUGGAGCGGUGAAAUGCGUUGAUAUCGGAAGGAACGCCGGUGGCGAAAGCGACGGACUGGACCUCUUCUGACGCUGAGGCGCGAAAGCUAGGGUAGCGAACGGG